rnacentral:rRNA from 1 species
UACGUAGGGGGCAAGCGUUGUCCGGAUUCAUUGGGCGUAAAGAGCUCGUAGGCGGCUUGGCAAGUCGGGUGUGAAACCUCCAGGCUCAACCUGGAGACGCCACCCGAUACUGCCAUGGCUAGAGUCCGGUAGGGGACCACGGAAUUCCUGGUGUAGCGGUGAAAUGCGCAGAUAUCGGGAGGAACACCAGUAGCGAAGGCGGCACUCUGGGCCGGAACUGACGCUGAGGAGCGAAAGCGUGGGGAGCGAACAGG